CCUACGGGCGGCAGCAGUGGGGAAUAUUGCACAAUGGGCGCAAGCCUGAUGCAGCCAUGCCGCGUGUGUGAAGAAGGCCUUCGGGUUGUAAAGCACUUUCAGCGGGGAGGAAGGCGGUGAGGUUAAUAACCUCAUCGAUUGACGUUACCCGCAGAAGAAGCACCGGCUAACUCCGUGCCAGCAGCCGCGGUAAUACGGAGGGUGCAAGCGUUAAUCGGAAUUACUGGGCGUAAGCGCACGCAGGCGGUCUGUCAAGUCGGAUGUGAAAUCCCCGGGCUCAACCUGGGAACUGCAUUCGAAACUGGCAGGCUAGAGUCUUGUAGAGGGGGGUAGAAUUCCAGGUGUAGCGGUGAAAUGCGUAGAGAUCUGGAGGAAUACCGGUGGCGAAGGCGGCCCCCUGGACAAAGACUGACGCUCAGGUGCGAAAGCGUGGGGAGCAAACAGGAUUAGAUACCCGGGUAGUC
rnacentral:rRNA from 1 species